rnacentral:rRNA from 1 species
CAGUAGCCGCGGGAAUACGAAGGGUGCAAGCGUUAAUCGGAAUUACUGGGCGUAAAGCGUGCGUAGGCGGUGAGUUAAGUCUGCUGUGAAAUCCCCGGGUUCAACCUGGGAAUGGCAGUGGAUACUGGCUCGCUAGAGUGUGUCAGAGGAUGGUGGAAUUCCCGGUGUAGCAGUGAAAUGCGUAGAGAUCGGAAGGAACAUCUGUGGCGAAGGCGACUAUCUGGGCCAACACUGACACUGAGGCACGAAAGCGUGGGGAGCAAACAGGAUUAGAUACCCGCGUAGUCCCUGUCUCUUAUAA